CCGCUGCCCUGGGACCCGCUUUCCUGAGGCUGCCUAACCCGGUCUCAGCACCAGCCUCUCUUCCCCUGCCUGGUGCCCAGCACUGAUAGGGCCAACAGGGGCUCCUCAGAGGGUCAGGUGCGCGUGGACUCCCACUAACCUCUCUAAAAUUCCAAUCUUCCCUUGUCACAGCUACAGAAAAAUCUCAGAUCAAUGGCUCCGUCGGACGGAAAAAAAAAAAAAAAAAGACAGCAAAGCAUGACGGGAAUGUUCGGUUAUGAACAGAUAAGAACUUUAGGUGAAACAUAGAUUCUCCACAAAAUGGGGCUAAGAUUUUUUUUUUUUAAAUUAGGUGAGCAAAGAAAGAAAAUACAGCACGAGUAAAACAGCAUCCCUCUUCCUGUUGAGAUGCGAAGGCGCCAGCACACUGCGCUCCAUGUUCUCAUACUCCGCGUGUGCAGACAGAUGGCGAAUCCGCGUCGAUGCUGGGAUGGGUUCUGGGCCCUGCAUGAUGAUGCGAGAAAAGGGAAUCGAAGUCGGGUCCACUGCCGUCUGCACUGUAAGGAGGUUCCUGAAAGCCUGCUGCCCACGAGACGGAACCUUCUAUGAUUGCUGCUGAUGAAGGCUCUCCCCAGCGUUGCUUAUGCAGUGACAGCAAGCAAAACGGCCACCUCACACAGCGGCUUCCUCGGAGUGGGGAGGAGGGACAUCGAUGGAGCAUCUCUGAGGUGACCUCCUGGCCAUUAAUGAUUCUUCAAGUGAAUCAAGCCAGAAUCAGAGAUUCCCAGAGGGAUGUGCCGGUGGUUCAGCAUGUUACCACUAGGGGGCGCCAGCAGAGCACAGACCUGCCAGUGAGGCUUCCUCCAGCCAGACUUCUUUGUGAGCUGAGAAGGUGCCUUUUCCUCCCUUAUUUCUUUAUUCCACAGCCCACCACACAAUAGAUGUGAGUGAGAGUGAGUAAGACUUGUUGGGGGACAGAACACCUACAGUGGGUGGGUUUAGAGCCUCCGUGGACAAGCCAUAUAUUAGACUGGAAUUUCUCCCAAUCUGGCCUGACACCCCCAUUUCCCGAUGCCAGGUGUUCUUUAACAUGCAGAUUCACCCUGCCAUCAUGGAAUCAAAAGGGCAUUGGGCCCAGGAAUCUGCAUUUAUACCAAGAGUGGAAGAUUUGGAAGCCAAAUAAACUUGGAGAACCCAUUUCAGCCCUCAAGGCACAUGACAGCCCAAGUCAGCUUUACCCAGUUGUUGUGAGAUCCCAGGAGAAGAAGCCACUUGCCCAGAGCCACAUACCCAUGAGCAGUGGGGCCAGGACUUGCCCCAUGUCUACCUGGUUCAUGCAGUUAGGCUUCAGUUGAGGUCUGGUCCCCAUAGGGGCAUACCUAUAAGCAGCGCCCCUUAAAAAAUGAGGCCCUCUUGGAGUUCCCAC
rnacentral:lncRNA from 9 species